rnacentral:rRNA from 1 species
UUCCUACGGGACGCAGCAGUGGGGAAUAUUGCACAAUGGGGGAAACCCUGAUGCAGCGACGCCGCGUGAGUGAAGAAGUAUUUCGGUAUGUAAAGCUCUAUCAGCAGGGAAGAUAAUGACGGUACCUGAGUAAGAAGCCCCGGCUAACUACGUGCCAGCAGCCGCGGUAAUACGUAGGGGGCAAGCGUUAUCCGGAUUUACUGGGUGUAAAGGGAGCGUAGACGGCAUGGCAAGUCUGAAGUGAAAGCCCGGGGCUCAACCGC